GCCUUAUUCUGAAAGGCGCUGAAUACUCCACUGGCAGCUGGAGGCUCCGAAGUAUCUGAGGACUGCAUAGACUCUGUCACCAGCACAGAGCUGCAUGAGCAUUUCCCCCCUUCCCAGCGAGAACAGCACAACAGCUACCCUGGGAGAGCCUUCGUCGUCACCUCUUGAGAGAAGUCCUGUCUCCCCGCAUCAAGGCGUGCAGAAAUGGUAGAUGUUCAAAGACAACUGGCAAAAGGGGAGGGGCCUCACUCAGAAGGGUACAACUCCACACUAAGUCUGGCUUUUGAGCUAAUAGCUAAUAAGACUGCUGAGCUAAAGAUAUUUGCUGAACAUCAUUAAAGCAUUCUUUCCUGUUACCAUAGGAGAGUGACUUGAGCUUUGAUUUUAUUUGCUAGCAGCAUGAGGCAGAAGUUUGUACCGACUUCGGGAUCCUGAAGGGUUGGUAUGACUGUAACACCACACAAUUCAUUGUUAAUUCCACUGUGAACACAAGGCAGUCGUGAUGUGACUUCUAUCCCUUUCUCCAUGCUACGUCCAAGAGUUUCUGCACACAGGAAGCAAAGUCCUGGUAUUCUAAACAUCUCUGGAAGGCAGAAAUACAGGGCACGUAUAAUCCAGCCUCCUGGCCCUGCCCUGUUCUGCCCCCUUGCUGCCUAAUUCAGUAUGUUUUGUACAUGUCUUUUUGUUCCCUUUCUAUGAACUUUUACUGCUCCCUUGUGUAACAGCCUCUAAGCUCUCUCUUGUAUACACAGUCCUGUUAUGAUACUGCUGCUUUGAACUGUAUGAGGCCGAUGGCCGUUAUCACGCUGCAAAGUCUUUGAUAGGAAAGGAAAGAGAAAGCUGAGAUGAUGACAAGUUUGUCCCAUCUUUCAGAAUGGAGCGGAAGAGCCCUUUUUGUAGUGCAGGAGCCAUCUCAUUACUACACACCUGUUCUGGGAUAAUCACCAUAGCAAACUGGAAAACCCUGUAAGAACUCAGAGCUGAGCAUCCCACACUGCAAGCAAAGGAACUACAGCAGGACACCCUGUGCAAAUAGGAGUGGACAAGGUUAGCAGAACAGACAGCAGCACCUUACUGAACAGCCAAGCAGAUAAUUACAUUGCAUGAAAACCACUCCUGUUAACACCCCAAGUUCUGGGUUAGUAGAGCAAUCCAGGCUGAGUUCCCUAAUCAUCACUGUAACCCCAUUUGUGAUGAAUCAGCCCCAGCAGGAUUCCAGUGCUAGUGAUGGAUGUAAUCCUUGCAGAUCCUGCAGAUCUCACGUAAGAAGGUCACCACUGGGAUUAACCUCUACUCAGAAACACUGUCCUCAAAAAGUUUAUCCAGACGUUAUAGUCCCACCACAUAACAGUCUGUAUUUCAUACAGCCUGGGAAGCCACUAACCCUUGAGUCACAAGAGAAAUACUCCCACUGAGAAAAGAAGAGCAGCCACCAAAAAGCCACAAGAGGAGUGAUAAAGAGAAUCAGAAUACAUAAGAGAACUAAAAUGUUUGCUAACUCAUGCUAAGAUGCCUCACAAAACAAGGAAGCCAAGAAGCAAAGCAACAUAACACAAGUCUAUGCAGUGGAAGACACACACAACGUGCAAGUACUGGUUAAAUCCUAUGAUUCUGUGGCUGACCUCAGAUAUUCUCCCAGCAAGUCAGGGCAGAAGGCAGGAGAAAGUUGUACUGAGCUGUUCAUAGUGAGCAUCUGUUUGAAGCAGUCCUCUGGAAAGCAGCCAUGUAAACCUCAAGGACAUUCUCCACGUUCCCUGUCCAAUCCUCCCUGCAUCCAAAUCCAAUCUAUUUUUUAGGAGAGUGUGUUUGUGAAGGAGUAACAACAGAGAAGGAAGGGGCAUUUUCCCUGCCUAGUCUGAAUCUAUGUCCUAGAACCUCCUUGAGGAUCAUGUCUGCUCCUUCAGCCUGGGUCCAUCCUACCUGCACAUGUGAGAUGCUGUUGCUCUAUCACUUAGUUGCACAGGCACACUCAGUUGGAUACAGGCAGUGAGCCUUCAGAGGCCAGUCACAUUACCGAUACGUUGUCCUCAUUAUUUUUCAGCACAGAAGUCUGGAGAUUCAUUGACAAUAGUGAGUAUGUCCUCCAUUCCAAUGGGACUUGUUCUGUGAUGAAUUCAGUAAGAUAAAAGUUUUCCUAAAUCUGUGCAAGAAUGCCCACUACAGACAGAGUGGGCACCUGCCUUAUCAUUAGCAAUGAAGUCCAGUUGCUAUCAUAACAUUUAUUCCAUCUAUAAACACAACAGACCUAGGCCACAGUGAUGUAGUCCAAGAUCACUACAAGUCCACCAUCCCAAGGGCUGUUCCCCGAGUGCUUUCUCUGUGCCACUCAAUGCAGCUGCCACUGGGGACUUUAUUGUAGCACCUCAAAGCCUACUGCACAAUGCCAGGGCGCACACACACACACAGUGAACUCAUGCACCUGCACCAGGGGUUAUACUGGAGUUUGUUGCCAAUGGAGGCCUGCCACAAGCAGUUUUCUGCGUCAGUAAUUUCCACUCAUUACUAUAUGUAAAAAUCCUGUUUGAAGACAAACCGAUAAGCACAGUGAUAAAUAAUAGUUCCCUUUGCUGUCCACGCUUAAGCCCUGUAAUUUCCCAUUUACCUGGGAUGUGCUUCGCCCAGCCAAUGAUCACCACCAAUUCCCUGUCUGCCAGGUCACAGAGGGUUGUCAGGGCUUUGAUGUCACUCUCCGGCAUGGUUGGAUCGGGCAUGGCAUAAAUCUUCUCUGGCUCUGCCACCAGCAAGUGGGAGACGAUCUUAGUCACUGCACAUUUCAAAGGAGAAGUUGUUGUUUUAUCUCUCGUGACAUAAGGUGUCAUAACAGCCCUCUCUAGAAGGGUCUUCCUGCAGAAUACAUGGCUAUAGAGGCUGUGGGACCUCAGAAAUUGUAUAGGUCACAAGAGGACAGUACACUGCAACUUUAUAUGCUGUACUGAUCUGUCUCUGCCAAACCAGCUCCACACAGGGAUGACAAAAGCAGCAAGCUACUGUAAGAUUGUCAAUCACUAUUUCAGGUAGAUCCAACAGGGAUAGGAGGAGGCACAAAUAAUCCAUUGAUAGGACCUGGAAAAGUUUAGGGAAUUAUUGGCUAUAGGGAAGAGAGAAAUCAGCACAGGACCAACUUUGUCAGGAUAGCCUGGAUGCCAGAAAAGUUCAGCAAAAUCACUAAAUGAAUUUUUAUAAUCUCCAAGGAAAUUUCUGGUCUAUAUUCUAGGUACAGUAUGUAUUGCUCCCAGUCUAUACCUUAGGUGUAGCAAGUAUGUGCUAUGAUCACAAGAAAAAGCAUCCUCGUGCUGGUGACUGAUGGGAACCAGAAUUGAUAACUGCUCCAUUGAACAUUUUGAGACCAACUAAAGGGAACACAGCGGUUGCUCAGAGGACCACAAUCCAAAGACUGAUACAUACGUGGCUUUUUAGCUGGGGGAGGGAUCUGUAAGCUCAAGUAAGUGCUACUCUCAGAAUCCAGUCUUCUCUUGUAUUUCUGGCGGCCUCCACGGACUCGAUCCAGACGAACACCUGCAGUUAAAACAGGAUAUAUUCACACGAUUCCUUAAAGCCAUGGGAAAUCUUGAUGUUCAGAUGUAAAAAUCUGCUAAGACGUUCUCCACGGUCUCCCAGUCAUUUGAGAUCUCAGCUGAACUCAGAGAUCCUAAUAACAAUAGGUAAGCUGCCUCUAGCUCUCAUACUACUGCUGUGAGCUUCAUUUUCUUUCUAGAUGCUAAUGAGGACAAAAAUUAACCCAUUCAAACUCUUGAAUCACCACUAAUCUGAUGGACAAAUGAAAGGCCUCAGAACUCAGUGCCCUCUGGAUGAUCUUGCUUUUAAAAAUAAAACCUUAAAUGUCAAUCAAACCUGUAGUUAUAAAAAUAAGCUUUUAGAUUGUCCUUAAAAUUGAGAAGUUAAAUGUGUGACCUCUCACUUCUUACGUUUGAAAAAAGUGAUCUGUAGCAAAUAGAUUAUGAACCAUGAAUUCAGCAAAAAAGCUUCAGGUUUGAUCUAGUAAGGAGCCAUAAUAAAAGUAGAACUCAAAUAGGUAGAAACAAUCUCUCCUACAAUAUGGCAGUGAUAAAUCUGAAACAGGGACACACUGAAGAAUUUGCUGCAGCUCUUUGAAAAUACAGAGAACCAAACUGCAAACAGAACAGUGAAAACAGUUCCCAGUGACUGACCCCGCACAAAGAACUACAGCAGCAUCGGUAACCAACUGAGCAGGAACUACCAUUGAACUUCUGCUACCUCGAACUGCCUCGGGACAAGGGACGGUAUUAAAAACUAAUCGUGAAAAAAGCCACAGAUAUUUGACCAAUUGUCAGUUACUUCUGGCAGCCACACUGCCACCGGUAAUGAGCUCCUGUGAAAAUGGGGCAGCUCAGUCUUGCUGGAGGAAACAGCUAUUGCAAAAAAGAAUCUCUCAUGGUAAAAGUAGGCUCAAUCAAGUAGAAUAAGUCUUUGAAUCUACACAAGUGUAUAAACACUGAUGAGUUUAUCUAGUCUGAUCACAGGAACCAAUUAUGUGAUACACUUACUAAUCACACUGAGCCAUUAAUAUUUUGCAAUCAAUUUACUGCAUAAACACAAACAACUAAAAGCAAACACUCCAAACCAGUGCUUUUUGAACAACUUGUUCAUCUGAAAAACCUGCAGCCUGCUGACAUAUGUUCAAUCCCAGAAGGAGACACAUCUGUCACACUGUAUGUCCCAAGCCAAUGCCCCAUUUGCUUACUGGGUCAUGGAAAAAGGAAAGCUUCUAAUGUUGUGCUCACACUGAUCCCACUGACACCACGUGAAAUUGUUACUUGCCAAAACACCUCGAUCCUGAUGCCACAAGUGGAGCACCCAAACCAGACUGACUGACAAACAAGCACCAACAGCCUUGCAACAGCAAGAAGAACUAUUGCCAGCCAGGCCAAUGGCACUUAGUUACACAGCAGCACUGCUGGGAUUUCCAGCAGGAGCAAUACCAUGUGCACGUGUAUUGCCUUUAAGCCCUGGUGUGUUGGGACACGCUGUUAGUAGGGCUGCUUCUUUUUAAGAGCAGCUGCCACUGCAGAGGAGGCAGGAAGAUUGGAAGCCUGGAGUUCUUGAGACCAAAGGAACUGCUGCUGCAGGUGUGCGCUCUGGGAGGAGGACAGGCACUGGGAGAUGGACAGAAUGACAUGAAAUAGAAUGCGUGAAUUCAGAGCAAACCUUUCCUUCUCCUGCCAUUUUCUAUUUCUGACGCUGUGUAGAGAACUUACUGAUGUCCCCCACAGUAAGUACUACUUUUCUCCUCCAUUACACAGCAGAUUUUCUGCAAACAUUGCCCGUUGCUUCUUUUCUCUCUGUUCCCUGCAGCAAGCAGCAUGUGGGAAAAAUUCUUCCUGUGUCUUCCUGGGAGCCCUAAGAGGUUCCAGUGAGUGAUUUUUAGAAAGGGCAGAUGAGGAAUCACAAUCCUAAGUUUAUCCUGGGAGAUCCUGGAGGAACAGCACUAAUAAAGUCCUGGAUGAAGUAG